UUCUAGAGUAAAGCUCGCCUAAAUAUGGAAAAGGUACAUUCCCUUUUCUUUCCUUAUCCGAACGUCUUUUCAAAAACCACCCCUCCAUAGAGAUCAAAGUAAGUGGCUCCUUAACUAUCUGUCUCCUCCAUGGUCAGGAGGCUGUGGCCACUGGCCACUAUGUGUUUUUCCAUAACAAGUGCUGGAGGACCUUCUCGUCUUGGUAAAAGACGAAGGAAUGUGUCAAAAGUGCCCAUUUCUUAUAUGGAUUCCUUUCCAUAGCCGAAAGUUACGCCCUCUUCUUCUUCCUGGUAUUAUUAUCGCAAUUAUAUAUAUAUAUAUAUAUAUAUAUAUAUAUAUAUAUAUAUAUAUAUAUAUAUAUAUAUAUAAUAGGGCUAUACAUGAAGGCUUAGCCUACUACUGUAUAAAAUUUUGAGUUACACGGAUCCUCCUGUUCCCCGCUCAGUGACCCCACAUUUGAUGCCUGCCUAAAAGUAAAUUCCAAAAGGGCUCGAUUUUCCAGGUCCAAAAUUAUUGUCUACUUAGUGCAAUAUUGUACGAUCCAUCCACCAUAUUUCCCGCAGCCAUUGCCCCCCUUGACAUUCAUGCAUCACGGUGUCUUCCAUUCACAGUACACAGGCAUGCAGCUUCACAAGAUGAUAGAUCAUUAUCAGCAUAUUCCUAAUUACAGUUGGAUUGUUAAAAGGUUGUAUAUAUUCAUCCUCAGUUAAAAUAUAUAUAUUCUCUG
rnacentral:lncRNA from 1 species